rnacentral:ncRNA from 2 species
AAAAGUAUGUGUAACUGGCGUAGACGUGGAGUACCACGAGGGAGCACAUAUGGUUCAGCCGUACGCCUGGGCAGAGGUA